ACGGAGGAUGCAAGCGUUAUCCGGAUUUAUUGGGUUUAAAGGGUGCGCAGGCGGUUUUACAAGUCAGUGGUGAAAGUCUGUCGCUUAACGUCAGGAUUGCCAUUGAUACUGUAUGACUUGAGUAUGGAUGAGGGAGGUGGAAUGUGUAGUGUAGCGGUGAAAUGCGUAGAGAUGUGGAGGAACACCGAUGGCGAAGGCAGCCCCCUGGGCCACGACUGACGCUGAUGCACGAAAGCGUGGGGAGCAAACAG
rnacentral:rRNA from 1 species